ensembl:misc_RNA Metazoa_SRP Metazoan signal recognition particle RNA
GCUGGGCAUGGUAGGGCAUGCCUGUAAUCCCAGCUACUCGGGAGGCUGAGGCAGGAGAAUCGCUUGAACCCAGGAGGUGGAGGUUGCAGUGAGCCAAUGUUCUGCCACUGCACUCCAGCCUAGGCAACAGAGUGAGAUUCUGUCUCCA